CCUACGGGAGGCUGCAGUGAGGAAUAUUGGUCAAUGGACGAGAGUCUGAACCAGCCAAGUAGCGUGAAGGAUGACUGCCCUCUGGGUUGUCACCUUCUUUUAUAAAGGAAUAAAACGAGGCACGUGUGCCUUUUUGCAUGUACUUUAUGAAUAAGGAUCGGCUAACUCCGUGCCAGCAGCCGCGGUCAUACGGAGGAUCCGAGCGUUCUCCGGAUUUCUUGGGUUUAAAGGGAGCGUAGAUGGGUUGUUAAGUCAGUUGUGAAAGGUUGCGGCUCAACCGUAAAAUUGCAAUUGAUACUGGCAGUCUUGAGUACAGUUGAGGUAGGCGGAAUUCGUGGUGUAGCGGUGAAAUGCUUAGAUAUCACGAAGAACCCCGAUUGCGAAGGCAGCUUACUAAACUGUGACUGACAUUGAUGCUCGAAAGUGUGGGUAUCAAACAGGAUUAGAUACCCUUGUAGUC
rnacentral:rRNA from 1 species